AGACGGAGUCUCGCUCUGUCGCCCAGGCUGGAGUGCAGUGGCGCGAUCUGGGCUCACUGCAACCUCCGCCUCCCGGGUGCACGCCAUUCUCCUGCCUCAGCCUCCCGAGUAGCUGGGACUACAGGCACCCACCAGCACGCCCGGCUAAUUUUUUUUGUAUUUUUAGUAGAGACAAGGUUUCACCGUGUUAGCGAGGAUGGUCUCGAUCUCCUGACCUCGUGAUCCACCUGCCUCGGCCUCCCAAAGUGCUGUGAUUACAGGCGUGAGCCACCGCGCCCGGCCGAGUUAUUCCAAUGGAAACAGCUGGAGAACUUAUAUUUCCGUGAGAAAAAAUUUGCUGUUGAAGUUCAUGAUCCACGAAGGAUUUCAGUUUCAAGAAGAACCUUUGGGCAAAGUGGCUUGUUUGUGCAAACAUGGUAUGCUAACUCUUCUCUCAUCAAGUCCAUUUGGGUAAUGGCAAUUAGUCAGCAUCAGUUUUACUUGGACCGGAAGCAAAGCAAAGUAA
rnacentral:lncRNA from 1 species